rnacentral:rRNA from 1 species
AAAUGAAUAGACGGGGGCCCGCACAAGCAGUGGAGUAUGUGGUUUAAUUCGAAGCAACGCGAAAAACCUUACCAGGUCUUGACAUCGAGUGAAGUAUUAAGAGAUUAAUACGUCUUUCGGGACACGAAGACAGGUGGUGCAUGGUUGUCGUCAGCUCGUGUCGUGAGAUGUUGGGUUAAGUCCCGCAACGAGCGCAACCCUUAUCAUUAGUUGCUACGCAAGAGCACUCUAAUGAGACUGCCGUUGACAAAACGGAGGAAGGUGGGGAUGACGUCAAAUCAUCAUGCCCCUUAUGACCUGGGCUACACACGUACUACAAUGGCAAUUAACAGAGGGAAGCAAAUCAGCGAUGGUAAGCAAAUCUCAAAAAAUUGUCUCAGUUCGGAUUGCAGGCUGCAACUCGCCUGCAUGAAGUCGGAAUUGCUAGUAAUCGCGAAUCAGCAUGUCGCGGUGAAUACGUUCCCGGGCCUUGUACACACCGCCCGU